AACGAACGCUAGCGGUAUGCUUAACACAUGCAAGUCGGACGGACUAAUUAGGGCUUGCUCCAAUUAGUUAGUGGCAGACGGGUGAGUAACACGUGGGAAUCUGCCCAUCAGUACGGAAUAACUUUUAGAAAUAAAAGCUAAUACCGUAUAUUCUCUACAGAGGAAAGAUUUAUCGCUGAUGGAUGAGCCCGCGUCAGAUUAGGUAGUUGGUGAGGUAACGGCUCACCAAGCCGACGAUCUGUAGCUGGUCUGAGAGGCUGAUCAGCCACACUGGAGCUGCGACACGGCCCCGACUCCUACGGAAGGCAGCAGUGGGGAAUAUUGGACAAUGGGCGAAAGCCUGAUCCAGCAAUGCCGGGUGAGUGAUCAAGGCCCUAGGGUUGUAAAGCUCUUUUAGCAAGGAAGAUAAUGACGUUACUUGCAGAAAAAGCCCCGGCUAACUCCGUG
rnacentral:rRNA from 1 species